rnacentral:rRNA from 1 species
GACGAACGCUGGCGGCGUGCCUAAUACAUGCAAGUCGAACGCACUCUCGUUUAGAUUGAAGGAGCUUGCUCCUGAUUGAUAAACAUUUGAGUGAGUGGCGGACGGGUGAGUAACACGUGGGUAACCUGCCCUAAAGUGGGGGAUAACAUUUGGAAACAGAUGCUAAUACCGCAUAAAACCUAACACCGCAUGGUGUAGGGUUGAAAGAUGGUUUCGGCUAUCACUUUAGGAUGGACCCGCGGUGCAUUAGUUAGUUGGUGAGGUAAAGGCUCACCAAGACCGUGAUGCAUAGCCGACCUGAGAGGGUAAUCGGCCACACUGGGACUGAGACACGGCCCAGACUCCUACGGGAGGCAGCAGUAGGGAAUCUUCCACAAUGGACGAAAGUCUGAUGGAGCAACGCCGCGUGAGUGAAGAAGGUUUUCGGAUCGUAAAACUCUGUUGUUGGAGAGAAUGUAUCUGAUAGUAACUGAUCAGGU